GACGAACGCUGGCGGCGUGCCUAAUACAUGCAAGUCGAACGCAGUUGCGAACGGGUGAGUAAUGCGUAGGGAAUUGCCGCAUGGCGGGGGCUAACUAUUGGAAACGAAAGCUAAUACCGCAUACUAUGAGAUGGACCUGCGUUGUAUUAGGUAGGUGGCGGGGUAAAGGCUCAACAAGGCGACGUUACAUCGCCGACCUGGGCGGGGGAUCUGCCACCCGUGGAUGGAGACACUGCCCAGACUCCUACGGAAGUGAGCAGUAAGGAGUCUUCGGCAAUGGACGGAAGUCUGAUCGAGCAGCGCCGGGUGAGUGAAGAAGGUUGUCGGAUAGUAAAGCUCUGGUGUUAUAGAAGCGUUAACUAACCAGAAAGGGACGGCUAACUCCGUGCCAGCAGCCGCGGUAAUUC
rnacentral:rRNA from 1 species